GACGAACGCUGGCGGCGUGCUUAACACAUGCAAGUCGAACGGAAAGGCCCUGCUUUUGUGGGGUGCUCGAGUGGCGAACGGGUGAGUAACCCGUGAGUAACCUGCCCUUGACUUUGGGAUAACUUCAGGAAACUGGGGCUAAUACCGGAUAGGAGCUCCUGCUGCAUGGUGGGGGUUGGAAAGUUUCGGCGGUUGGGGAUGGACUCGCGGCUUAUCAGCUUGUUGGUGGGGUAGUGGCUUACCAAGGCUUUGACGGGUAGCCGGCCUGAGAGGGUGACCGGCCACAUUGGGACUGAGAUACGGCCCAGACUCCUACGGGAGGCAGCAGUGGGGAAUAUUGCACAAUGGGCGGAAGCCUGAUGCAGCAACGCCGCGUGCGGGAUGGCGGCCUUCGGGUUGUAAACCGCUUUCGCCUGUGACGAAGCGUGAGUGACGGUAAUGGGUAAAGAAGCACCGGCUAACUACGUG
rnacentral:rRNA from 1 species